rnacentral:tRNA from 1 species
GCCUUCGUGGCCUAACGGAUAAGGCGUCGGCUUUCUAAGCCGAAGAUUGCGGGUUCGAAUCCGUCGGAGGUA